AUUGAACGCUGGCGGCAGGCCUAACACAUGCAAGUCGAGCGGAUGAAGGGAGCUUGCUCCUGGAUUCAGCGGCGGACGGGUGAGUAAUGCCUAGGAAUCUGCCUGGUAGUGGGGGAUAACGUCCGGAAACGGGCGCUAAUACCGCAUACGUCCUGAGGGAGAAAGUGGGGGAUCUUCGGACCUCACGCUAUCAGAUGAGCCUAGGUCGGAUUAGCUAGUUGGUGGGGUUAAGGCCUACCAAGGCGACGAUCCGUAACUGGUCUGAGAGGAUGAUCAGUCACACUGGAACUGGGACACGGUCCAGACUCCUACGGGAGGCAGCAGUGGGGAAUAUUGGACAAUGGGCGAAAGCCUGAUCCAGCCAUGCCGCGUGUGUGAAGAAGGUCUUCGGAUUGUAAAGCACUUUAAGUUGGGAGGAAGGGCAGUAAGUUAAUACCUUGCUGUUUUGACGUUACCAACAGAAUAAGCACCGGCUAACUUCGUG
rnacentral:rRNA from 1 species